UACAGAGGGGGCCAGCGUUAUUCGGAAUUAUUGGGCGUAAAGGGCGCGUAGGCGGCCCUGCGUGUCUUCUGUGAAAUCCCUCGGCUCAACCGAGGACGUGCAGAAGAAACUGCGGGGCUCGAGUCCGGGAGAGGGGGGUGGAAUUCCCAGUGUAGCGGUGAAAUGCGUAGAUAUUGGGAGGAACACCGGUGUCGAAGGCGGCCCCCUGGACCGGUACUGACGCUGAGGCGCGAAAGCGUGGGGAGCAAACGGGAUUAGAUACCCGAGUAGU
rnacentral:rRNA from 1 species